rnacentral:rRNA from 1 species
CAAUAGCGUAUAUUAAAGUUGUUGCAGUUAAAAAGCUCGUAGUUGGACCUUGGACCUGGACAGGCGGUCCGCCUCACGGCGAGUACUGUCUUGCUGGGUCUUUCCUCUUGGUGAUCUGUUGUUUCGGCAGCAGGGAACCAGGACCUUUACUUUGAAAAAAUUAGAGUGUUCAAAGCAGGCUCGACGCCGGAAUAUAUUAGCAUGGAAUAAUAAAAUAGGACGUGCGGUUCUAUUUUGUUGGCUUUUGGAAUCGCCGUAAUGAUUAAUAGGGACAGUCGGGGGCAUUAGUACUCACAUGCUAGAGGUGAAAUUCUUGGAUUUUGUGAAGACUAACUUCUGCGAAAGCAUUUGCCAAGGAUGUUUUCAUUAA